UUGACAAUAGCGGGCUGUUUACUUCAAAAGAGCUAGGAGAGAGGACUUUGAAUAAUUUCACUGCAAAGAAAUGCUAAAGGUCGCACCGAUGGGGAACGUCUGUGCUAUCAGCAUCUUUGGGAUCCAUCACAAUCCAUCUGUCUGGCCAGAUCCUGAGGUGCUGCUCCUCCUCCCCAUUCCUGGGGCCUGGUGAUGGGGCGCGGACCUGACCUGGGACAUCAGACGCCGUCCCUCUACUGCACCUGCACGACUUCCCCCGGGGUGGCUGGUGUGCCAUCUCCCAGCAGCCCUCUCUUGCCCUGUCCCCAGGUCUAUGACCCCUCGCGCUUCGACCCAGAAAAACCCAGAAGAGGUCA